rnacentral:rRNA from 1 species
GACGAACGCUGGCGGCGUGCUUAACACAUGCAAGUCGAGCGGUAAGGCCCUUUCGGGGGUACACGAGCGGCGAACGGGUGAGUAACACGUGGGUGACCUGCCCUUGGCUCUGGGAUAAGCCUGGGAAACUGGGUCUAAUACCGGAUAUGACUCCAUGACGCAUGUUGUGGGGUGGAAAGCCUUGUGCGGCUAGGGAUGGGCCCGCGGCCUAUCAGCUUGUUGGUGGGGUGAUGGCCUACCAAGGCGACGACGGGUAGCCGGCCUGAGAGGGCGACCGGCCACACUGGGACUGAGACACGGCCCAGACUCUACGGGAGGCAGCAGUGGGGAAUCUUGCGCAAAUGGGCGAAAGCCUGACGCGGCGACGCCGCGUGAGGGAU